AUUGAACGCUGGCGGCAGGCCUAACACAUGCAAGUCGAGCGGAUGAAGGGAGCUUGCUCCUGGAUUCAGCGGCGGACGGGUGAGUAAUGCCUAGGAAUCUGUCUGGUAGUGGGGGAUAACGUCCGGAAACGGGCGCUAAUACCGCAUACGUCCUGAGGGAGAAAGUGGGGGAUCUUCGGACCUCACGCUAUCAGAUGAGCCUAGGUCGGAUUAGCUAGUUGGUGGGGUAAAGGCCUACCAAGGCGACGAUCCGUAACUGGUCUGAGAGGAUGAUCAGUCACACUGGAACUGAGACACGGUCCAGACUCCUAAGGGAGGCAGCAGUGGGGAAUAUUGGACAAUGGGCGAAAGCCUGAUCCAGCCAUGCCGCGUGUGUGAAGAAGGUCUUCGGAUUGUAAAGCACUUUAAGUUGGGAGGAAGGGCAGUAAGUUAAUACCUUGCUGUUUUGACGUUACCAACAGAAUAAGCACCGGCUAACUUCGUG
rnacentral:rRNA from 1 species